rnacentral:rRNA from 1 species
UACGAAGGGGGCUAGCGUUGCUCGGAAUCACUGGGCGUAAAGCGCACGUAGGCGGAUCUUUAAGUCAGGGGUGAAAUCCUGGAGCUCAACUCCAGAACUGCCUUUGAUACUGGGGAUCUCGAGUCCGGGAGAGGUGAGCGGAACUGCGAGUGUAGAGGUGAAAUUCGUAGAUAUUCGCAAGAACACCAGUGGCGAAGGCGGCUCACUGGCCCGGUACUGACGCUGAGGUGCGAAAGCGUGGGGAGCAAACAGG